rnacentral:ncRNA from 1 species
AGACCUGGGAUCUCCCGCCGCCCUCUUAAGAACUCUUGGAGAGAACCCUUCCCAAAACCAAACCCGGACGCCGUCGCUCGUACGGGUGAGAAUCCCGAUCAACAGCCGAAACCACCGGUUUCCACCCGUACGCUCGGCUGCACAAGUACCCAGACAUGCGACGACCCCCGCCAGGAGUGCAAUCCCGACGAGGGUCUGACCACCAAGGAAGAUUGGCGCUUCCCA